rnacentral:rRNA from 1 species
CGCAUACCUCCCGGUGUUUGAUAUGCCGUGGAGGGGUGUUGCGUUUCGGUGCAUCCGUACCGCUCGAGUUGCUGACCGCCUAAGUCAUUGCUUGAAUGCAGCCCCGAGGAGGGUGGUAGGCCCGUGUGGCGGCGCCUGUAAAAAGGUCGUAAGCAACUUGGGCGGAGGGGUGUUUACCGUAGAGUCGGGUUGCUUAGUACUGCAGCCCUAAGUAGGUGGUAAACUCCAUCUAAGGCUAAAUACGAACACGAGUCCGAUAUUUGACAAGUACCGUGAGGGAAAGCUGAAAAGGACUCUGAAGAGAGAGUUCAAGAGGACGUGAAACCAUUAGAAGCUGAAACGGGUGGAACUGUGAAGGUGGAAAGAGGGGAUUCAGGCUGUGGGCAAACGCUUGGGUUUUAGGUUGGCUACUGUGAGAGGACCCGGCUUACGAGUGAGUUGCCGCGGCCCCUUUAACCCUGAGCGUUUGUGUGCGGGCUUAUUUCUCCCUCGAGUACUGUACGUGGCGACCCGCUGGCGGGACCCCGAGGACUCUUAGGGACUGGUAACCUGCAACAUUGUUGUUGGUGAAGACCUUAGAGAGUACUGAGAGGGUUUUGCCGGCGGUCACUUUGAGGAGUUAG